rnacentral:tRNA from 1 species
GGACGCUUAGCUCAGUCUGGCAAGAGCAUCCGGUCAACACCCGGAGGGUCGGCAGUUCAAAUCUGUCAGUGUCCA